rnacentral:rRNA from 1 species
CCUGGCUCAGAUUGAACGCUGGCGGCAUGCCUUACACAUGCAAGUCGUAACGGCAGCGGACCUUCGGGUGCCGGCGAGUGGCGAACGGGUGAGUAAUAUAUCGGAACGUACCUUUCAGUGGGGGAUAACGUAGCGAAAGUUACGCUAAUACCGCAUAUUCUGUGAGCAGGAAAGCAGGGGAUCGCAAGACCUUGCGCUGAUUGAGCGGCCGAUAUCAGAUUAGCUAGUUGGUGAGGUAAAGGCUCACCAAGGCGACGAUCUGUAGCGGGUCUGAGAGGAUGAUCCGCCACACUGGAACUGAGACACGGUCCAGACUCCUACGGGAGGCAGCAGUGGGGAAUUUUGGACAAUGGGCGCAAGCCUGAUCCAGCCAUGCCGCGUGAGUGAAGAAGGCCUUCGGGUUGUAAAGCUCUUUCGGCCGGGAAGAAAUCGCACAGGUUAAUACCCUGUGUGGAUGACGGUACCGGAAUAAGAAGCACCGGCUAACUACGUG